rnacentral:rRNA from 1 species
UAGAGUUUGAUCAUGGCUCAGGACGAACGCUGGCGGCGUGCUUAACACAUGCAAGUCGAACGGUGAUCUCGGGGCUUGCUCCGGGUGAUCAGUGGCGAACGGGUGAGUAACACGUGAGUAACCUGCCCCUGGCUCUGGGAUAACUUCGGGAAACCGGGGCUAAUACCGGAUAUGACGUAGAUCCGCAUGGGUUCUGCGUGGAAAGUUUUUCGGCCAGGGAUGGACUCGCGGCCUGUCAGCUUGUUGGUGGGGUAAUGGCCUACCAAGGCGACGACGGGUAGCCGGCCUGAGAGGGCGACCGGCCACACUGGGACUGAGACACGGCCCAGACUCCUACGGGAGGCAGCAGUGGGGAAUCUUGGACAAUGGGCGCAAGCCUGAUCCAGCCAUGCCGCGUGAGUGAAGAAGGUCUUCGGAUUGUAAAGCUCUUUUGCCAGGGACGAUAAUGACGGUACCUGGAGAAUAAGCCCCGGCAAACUUCGUGCCAGCAGCCGCGGUAGCCCA